GUUUCUAUAGUGUAAUUUUUUAACAUAUUGCAUUUUCGUUGCAAAGCUGAAAAACUUUUUCUAGAAACU
rnacentral:tRNA from 1 species